AGUAAAAGUCGUAACAAGGUUUCCGUAGGUGAACCUGCGGAAGGAUCAUUACCGAACCGUCGACACGAGUUGUUGCUGGUCCCUCGGAAGGGGGACAUGUGCACGCUCUGUUUACACAUCCACUCACACCUGUGCACCUUCUGUAGUUCUGUGGUCCGGGAGAUCCGUCUUCCCUCCACGGCUCUACGUUUUCACACACACGCCGUAAUAAAGUUUUAUGGAAUGUAUGCCGCGUUUAACGCAAUAAAAUACAACUUUCAGCAACGGAUCUCUUGGCUCUCGCAUCGAUGAAGAACGCAGCGAAAUGCGAUAAGUAAUGUGAAUUGCAGAAUUCAGUGAAUCAUCGAAUCUUUGAACGCACCUUGCGCCCUUUGGCCAUUCCGAAGGGCAUGCCUGUUUGAGUAUCAUGAACACCUCAACUCUCACGGUUCGCCGCGAUGAGCUUGGACUUUGGAGGUUUUGCUGGCCCUCUGUCGGCUCCUCUCAAAUUAAUUAGCUUUCCGGUGUUUGGUAGCGUCGCAGGUGUGAUAACUAUCUACGCUUGUGAGGGUCUGCCGAGCAACCUCCAGUGAUGGAGGUCCGCUGGAGCUUCUAAACGUCUCUCCUCUGCGAAGACAGCCUUUUGAUGUUUGAUCUCAAAUCAGGUAGGACUACCCGCUGAACUUAAGCAUAUCAAUAAGCGGAGGAAAAGAAACUAACAAGGAUUCCCCUAGUAACUGCGAGUGAAGCGGGAAGAGCUCAAAUUUAAAAUCUGGCGGCCUCUGG
rnacentral:rRNA from 1 species